rnacentral:misc_RNA from 1 species
AAGUCGUAACAAGGUUUCCGUAGGUGAACCUGCGGAAGGAUCAUUCAUAAUAAGUGUUUUUCUGGGCACUUUUUAAAAACCCAUACCCACCUUGUGUGCAAUGUUUGAUCUGUUGUUAUGUUAUGUAGCAGCAGAUUAAAAAUACCAACUUUACAUCUUUAAUAAUUUUGUCUUAAAAAAUAUUAUGAAUAACUUAAUUCAAAAUACAACUUUCAACAACGGAUCUCUUGGCUCUC